CCUACGGGGGGCAGCAGUGGGGGAUAUUGCGCAAUGGGGGAAACUCUGAUGCAGCGACGCCGCGUGCAGGAAGAAGGAUUUCGGAUUGUAAAGCGCUAUCGACAGGGAAGAAAAAAGCAAGUACCCGUAGAAAAAGCCCCGGCUAAAUACGUGCCAGCACCCCCGGUAAUACGUAGGGAGCAAGCGUUAUCCGGAUUUAUUGGGUGUAAAGGGUGGGGAGACGGGGAAGCAAGCUGGUUGUGAAAGCCCUCGGCCUAACUGAGGAACUGCAACUGAAACUACCACCCUUGAGUACUGGAGAGGAAGGUGGAAUUCCUAGUGUAGCGGUGAAAUGCGUAGAUAUUAGGAGGAACACCAGUGGCGAAGGCGGCCUUCUGGACAGUAACUGACGUUGAGGCUCGAAAGCGUGGGGAGCAAACAGGAUUAGAUACCCUUGUAGUC
rnacentral:rRNA from 1 species